UAAAUGAAAGCCAAAGUAGCGGCGCCUACCUGUUAACUAGGAGAAUGUAAAAAUAUUACUCAUUUAG
rnacentral:tRNA from 1 species